AUUCGACCAUAUCUUGCAACGACUUGAGUUGGCUUUGACGUGUAUAGGCUCAUAUCUCAAAGCUAGGGUAAGUUCAAAACACUCCUUCACUACCAAUAUGGUUGUUCUAAUGAGUGCCAGCAAGAAGAAAGUAUCAAUUGGUUGCCCCAAGUUUUUGGCUACGGAAGCUAAGUUGGGAUCGACUAUAUGUAUCUACAGAGGAUGUGAAGGCGAUGACGAUGACGAUGAUGAUGAUGAUGAUGCUUCAAAGGUGGCACCAGCUGCAUGAUAUUGUAAUAGUAUUUCCUACAACAACACAUAGUAAUACAUAUAGCUAGCUAGGUUCCCAUGUUUCUUUGCUGCAGAUGUUGCUCUAAAGUGAAUUAACAAUGUUGACAUCUAAAAGAGAGAGACAUGUAGUGAAGUGAGUUACGUCUGUAGAGAAGGAAGAGAGCAAUGCAUGAGAGAUAUCUUCUUGUUUUCUACUUACAGUAAUAUAUCUGUGUAUCACUCUAUUAUCCAUGCCAUUAAUAAAUGAUGAUGGAGUACUAAUUGAGGGGUAAACCUCGUAUGUUGUAAUGAUUUCUUUUUAUAUUCUAUAUUUAUAACUAGGCAAUCAUGAAGGAAGCAAUAUUCAAACUUUAGUGGAGGCAUCAGGC
rnacentral:lncRNA from 1 species